CAUCUCUCAGGAUGGCAUCUGGAGAGUUUCCAAUACUCUAACAGUCUCAAUUCUGGGAGGGAGAGUCAAGCAGAGGCAUAUCCAUUCCAUUCCUAGCUUGGGCAGUGGCUAGCCAGUGGAAGACAACCUGCUGCAAGU